rnacentral:lncRNA from 1 species
UGCAUGUGGUGGCAUGUGUCUGAGUCUAGGUUACAAAGGUAAAGGGAAAUGUUUCAGCCAGCAAAGCUACCUUGGGAACCUUACAGUCUUUAGGUUCUAAACUUAAGAAAAGUUAUGAGCCCUUUCGUUAUGUAUUGGAGAUCAGCAUGGGAUUUAUUAUGGAGGCAGCCAGAAGGCAGCAGUGCAACAAGAAAAGUGCCAGGUGCCGGGGAAGCACAGCAUCAGAAGAGAGACUUCAGGUCCCAAAGAACUUGCAAUCUGCAGUGCAAUUAGAGAUGGUUGCUGCUUGAAUCUCAUCUGCUAACAGUUGUUCUGCUAUCAUAAAGUGCAGCUUGGCUAAUUGCCCUGAAUAUUACCCCGGUAAGCCUUGCAACAGUCCUUCCAAACCCUGAGCUGCUGGCUGUGCUCAAGAUAGCUGCUGUAGAGUUUGGUUCUGUGUCAGCUCAGCUGCAGCUGUGUCAUGUAGUUGAUCUGACCAGCUGCACUCGGAAUUACAAAUUCAGUUAUUUGACUUGACCGGGACAAAGAGCAGGUUGGUGUCAGAAACAGGAGCAGAAAGAACAUU